rnacentral:rRNA from 1 species
UACAGAGGUCCCGAGCGUUGUUCGGAUUCACUGGGCGUAAAGGGUGCGUAGGUGGGCAGGUAAGUCAGUGGUGAAAUCUCCGGGCUUAACUCGGAAACUGCCAUUGAUACUAUCUGUCUUGAAUACCGUGGAGGUCAGCGGAAUAUGUCAUGUAGCGGUGAAAUGCUUAGAUAUGACAUAGAACACCAAUUGCGAAGGCAGCUGGCUACACGAAUAUUGACACUGAUGCACGAAAAGCGUGGGGAUCAAAACAGG